CCCUUAGAUGUUCUGGGCCGCACGCGCGCUACACUGACUGGUGCAACAAGUCUUAACCUUGGCCGAUAGGUCUGGGUAAUCUUUGAACGCUGUUCGUGAUUGGGAUAGACCUUUGCAAUUAUGGGUCUUCAACGAGGAAUUCCUAGUAAACGCAAGUCAUCAGCUUGCAUUGAUUACGUCCCUGCCCUUUGUACACACCGCCCGUCGCACCUACCGAUUGAAUGGUCCGGUGAAAUCUCGGGACGGCGGCUUGGUCGCUUGCGUCCGACUGCUGAAACUUGAUUAAACCAUAUCAUUUAGAGGAAGGUGAAGUCGUANCA
rnacentral:rRNA from 1 species